GAUGAACGCUAGCGGCAGGCCUAACACAUGCAAGUCGAGGGGUAUUUGGAGCUUGCUCCAAAGAGACCGGCGCACGGGUGCGUAACGCGUAUGCAAUCUACCUUAUACUAAGGGAUAGCCCGGAGAAAUCCGGAUUAAUACCUUAUAGUUAAUUUGGUUGGCAUCAGCCGAAUUAUAAAGAUUUAUUGGUAUAAGAUGAGCAUGCGUCCCAUUAGUUAGUUGGUGUGGUAACGGCAUACCAAGACGAUGAUGGGUAGGGGUCCUGAGAGGGAGAUCCCCCACACUGGUACUGAGACACGGACCAGACUCCUACGGGAGGCAGCAGUGAGGAAUAUUGGUCAAUGGAGGCAACUCUGAACCAGCCAUGCCGCGUGCAGGAAGAAUCAUCUAUGGUGUGUAAACUGCUUUUGUACGGGAAGAAAAAGAAUUACGAGUAAUUUAUUGACGGUACCGUAAGAAUAAGGAUCGGCUAACUCCGUGCCAGCAGCCGCGGUAAUACGGAGGAUCCAAGCGUUAUCCGGAAUCAUUGGGUUUAAAGGGUCCGUAGGCGGCCUUAUAAGUCAGUGGUGAAAGUUUUCGGCUUAACCGAAAAAUUGCCAUUGAUACUGUAGGGCUUGAAUGAUUGUGAAGUAACUAGAAUAUGUAGUGUAGCGGUGAAAUGCUUAGAUAUUACAUGGAAUACCAAUUGCGAAGGCAGGUUACUAACAAUUAAUUGACGCUGAUGGACGAAAGCGUGGGUAGCGAACAGGAUUAGAUACCCUGGUAGUCCACGCCGUAAACGAUGGAUACUAGCUGUUCGGGCGUAAGCUUGAGUGGCUAAGCGAAAGUGAUAAGUAUCCCACCUGGGGAGUACGGUCGCAAGACUGA
rnacentral:rRNA from 1 species